rnacentral:lncRNA from 1 species
UAUGAACCAAGGAUGCACCUCCAACAAAACAAUUCUUACAUGGAAUCCUAGAGUCUUUGGAACGUGGUUUGAACACCACCAGCUUUGAGAAGGAAGAGAAAAUCCAGAAGUCAGAAGUGGACCAUGUUGAUCAGGAUCCUACACCUUCCAGUUCACUGGUGAAUAACUUCAUAUUCCUGAAGUUAAGAAGCCUGCCCUGAUGCUCAUGCAGUUACUUUGAGCAAUGACCAAACAGAG